AUUCAUUUAGUUUAAUAAAACAUUUUAUUUUCAUUAAAAAAAAGACUUAUAGUUUGUGAAUA
rnacentral:tRNA from 1 species